rnacentral:lncRNA from 1 species
AAACCGGAGUAUUUUAUUGCACCAAGAUCUUGGCAACACGUGGGGCUCCCCAGGCCCCCGGAAAGGAGGUGCGGCCAUGCAACCAGGACGCGGGGCAGGCAAGUGAGAGGACCUGGGAGAGGUAGCUGCUGUACACAGGCCCCACUCCCUCCAGCUCCAUUCCCAAGCACAAAAUUCAACAGACCCAGAUCCUAAGUCAACCAAGUGACUGCUAUGACAAAGGCUUGGGUUAUUGACAUUUACUUACAUACGUGUACAAGACCUAGAGUUUGAACUCGUUUUCUGGGCCUCAUCUUUCCCUUCCCUAUCUGGUUGAUGACUUCGGUGGAGGGAAGGGACGUGACUCCACCCAACAGUGAUAAACGCUGCAGAAAGUCAUCUCGUGCUCACCACUGCCCAAGAGUUAACGAAUGUAUGUACCCCAGGAAAAGGUUUUACAGUUAUCUAGUGGAGAAGGGAAGAGACUGAUUUGGAGGAGAGAAGGGAGAGAAAGGAACGAGAUAAAUUCUGUGCCAGCAGACAACUAACAUUUUCAACUACAGAACAUCACACGGUAAACAUGGCAGAGGGAACAGUUCACACAGGAAUGCAAGUCAACACCCCGAGAAGAAAAGGAACAUACCCUGCCCGUGAAGGCAUGUGCUUUCCCUUCCAGAUAAGUUACAAAGCCAGAGCACGGAAGCCAGGCCCUCAUCUUUGAACAUUCAGAGACUGGUCCGCAGGAGAGGGCACCCUGAGCAGCUCCACUCACUGCUGCUGGGACACAGGUGGCCACAGGAGCUUGAUUCUCUCCCACCCUUCUAAGAAGAGAAACGUAAAAACAGAAGAAAAUCCAAAAAGAGACACCCACCCACAUGGAAAAAAAUAAAUGUAUCUUCCCAUAUUAAAAAAGCAAUUCCAUCUACACGCCAGUAACCACCCAGGCCCCGAGCACAGGGGCAGGAAGCAAAGCUGCCCCAGGGAGAGGGGGUGCAGACAGCGAGGCAGCCACCCGGGACAGCAGGAUGCCUCUGGCCCAGCAGAGCCACACUGAAGGAGGUCUAAGUCCAACACCACGUUGUCCAUCUCCACCUGCGACGACUCCGGGAGGAAAUGACGGGGACAGACCCGAUGAGGAAGGAUGUUCACGGUCACCUUCACACUUCCCACUACUAUGAGGGCAUUUGUCUUUUUCCUGAAAAUAUCACCUUCUCUGAGGAUUUCCUGUAUUUAUUAAGUUACAAGUUGGCAGGCACAGCUUGAGCAACAUAGAAAAGUAAUCUUCUUGAGUUAUACAAUCAUUUAAAUUCCAAAGCACUCACAAAAUUGAGCAAACAAAGCCACUAUUUGCAUAUUUGGGAAAGGAAACAUAUUGCUAAUGGAAGCCACAGGACUGGUCAAAAAUAAAUGUUUUGUAUUAAGUAGUAAAAUAAAUGGAGAAUUCUACCCCAAAGCCUCCACCUCAGUGAAGACCUGCGGGUUAUUGCAGCUGCAAGGGAAGCUACAGCACAGUCGUCUCAGAAUAAACAGCAGCCUGGAAAGCAGAUGUAUUCGCAGGUAUCGAGGGCUCCUCCGACCCCAAAUAGCCUCUGCUCUCCAGGACAGUUGAGAGCUACUCACAAGGAAGGGGUGCACAGUAGG